UGGCGGACGGGUGAGUAACGCGUGGGUAACCUGCCUUGUACUGGGGGACAACAGUUGGAAACGACUGCUAAUACCGCAUAAGCGCACAGCUUCGCAUGAAGCAGUGUGAAAAACUCCGGUGGUACAAGAUGGACCCGCGUCUGAUUAGCUGGUUGGUAAGGUAACGGCUUACCAAGGCGACGAUCAGUAGCCGACCUGAGAGGGUGACCGGCCACAUUGGGACUGAGACACGGCCCAA
rnacentral:rRNA from 1 species